AGAGACCACCAAGGAGCCAGUUUCUGGUGCAAACACACAAGGUGUAAGGAGUCUGUCCUUGAUUACGUCAUCAGCCUGCGAUGGCAUCCCAGCCUAAAAAGCAAGUUCGAACCCGGGCUCCCAUCUAUGCCCCGAUGCAGUGGAUGGAGGGAAAUGUGGCAGCGGCCAGGGGCUCAGGGGUGCUCCAACCCGUGCAACCUGAACCUGAGGAACCUCUGACUACCGCUCUGGACCCUGCCAAUCAAACUCCACUUCUCUGACCUCCCGCUC